rnacentral:rRNA from 1 species
CGUGGGUAACCUGCCCAAGAGAUCGGGAUAACACCUGGAAACAGAUGCUAAUACCGGAUAACAACAGAUGAUGCCUAUCAACUGUUUAAAAGAUGGUUCUGCUAUCACUCUUGGAUGGACCUACGGUGCAUUAGCUAGUUGGUAGGGUAACGGCCUACCAAGGCGAUGAUGCAUAGCCGAGUUGAGAGACUGAUGGCCACAUUGGGACUGAGACACGGCCCAAACUCCUACGGGAGGCAGCAGAA